rnacentral:tmRNA from 4 species
GGGGCUGACAGGCUUUCGAUGGCCUGCCGGAGACCAUUCGCUACGUGCCGGAGGCCGGCAGGGACAACCGUCAUCAACCUUGCCACAAGAACGAACGCCAACACCGUUUCUUCUUCCCGUUUCACCCUCGCGGCGUGAAACCCGGCUUUGAUCCCAUUGCCGAUUAACGGGUCAAAGCCGGAGAACUUCGAAUCGGACUGGUCGGACAGUCGGACGAUGGAUUCGCCCGGCCAGCAUACGAACAUCGUCUACAAGCCGUGCGGGUUCGCCGAACGCACCCGUCCACGGAUGAGCGUCAAGCGUCGGAUACGCACGUGACGGCAAGCAAUGGUUGACGGCAGGCCAGACCCGGGUUCGAUUCCCGGCAGCUCCACGA